UGCAGUCGNNCGGGNUUUGAGUAGCAGUACGUUAAUGAGAGUGGCGCACGGGUGCGUAACGCGUAUGCAACCUACCUUUAACAGGGGGAUAGCUCCGAAAAAUCGGGAUUAAUACCCCAUAGUAUUAUUGAUUGGCAUCAAUUAAUAAUUAAAGCUCCGGCGGUUAAAGAUGGGCAUGCGUGCCAUUAGCUAGUUGGUGAGGUAAAGGCUCACCAAGGCGAUGAUGGCUAGGGGUUCUGAGAGGAUUAUCCCCCACACUGGUACUGACACACGGACCAGACUCCUACGGGAGGCAGCACUAAGGAAUAUUGGGCAAUGGACGCAAGUCUGACCCAGCCAUGCCGCGUGCAGGAAGACGGCCCUAUGGGUUGUAAACUGCUUUUAUCAGGGAAUAACCCCCCGGAUGUAUCCGGGGCUGAAUGUACCUGAAGAAUAAGCAUCGGCUAACUCCGUGCCA
rnacentral:rRNA from 1 species